CUACAACAACAACUACUACUACUCGGUUAGAAACAUGCGUAAAAGUCAAUCAAACUACAAAACUCAUUAUAUUUUAUUACGAACGGACAUGCAGACCACAUAAUCUUUGCAUUCCCUCCUCCUCGACUUCCUUCUCCACACGCUGCCAAAGAACUGAAUAAAAUUUGAACUGAAUAGGAUGAACAUCAGGAUAUAAUGUAUAAUCUAUUUUCACACACACACACACACACACAGACACACACACACACACACACACGAAUGUCCUGUUAGAAGUAGUGCUUUCACCUGCAAGAAACCAUUCCACAGAAAACGGUAUGUAAAAAUUGACUUUUACAUUGAUUUAAUUUUCUAUUUUUCAUCAUACUGAACAGUUUACUCACUUUACAUUUUCAACAUUACUUUAACUCUCAAAUCAUUCUAACAUUCUCUUCAUAACUGAUAAAAACUUCAAUAAUUCUCUAGUGUUUCCACAAAUGCAUUCUUUUAAAAUCUAGAAUUAUUAACAACUUCUAUUGCGUUUUACAUUCAAUUAACAUAUUUUCUCUUCAUGUUUCAAAAUGAUUCAACCUUUAUGAGAAUUACAACUCAUUUCAUUACCAAAUUAACAUCUUUGUUGACUUUUUCCUCUCUCUUCCUCUUUCUAACUGGUGGACACAAGGCUGACACAUUGAUGCUCAGCAAGUUUCCAUGACGACCUUGUUUUGAGGCUUAAAGAACUCUCCUCUCUUUAACUUUAAGUAUUUUUCAAGUACUCUGAUCUUCACAAUGCCGGUCAUUUUUUUUUCCUUCCAAUAAACAAAUAUACGAAGCAAAUACCUAACUCAAACCAUUAAAAUCAAGCCCGAUCAUCAAAGAAAGCACAAACAGACAGGAAAUAUUCUAUUGUGUACCACUUCUAGUAAAAGCAAUAAUAUUUGUAAACAAAGUGCCAUGCAUUGCAACAUUACACCAUACAUAACAUAACUAAGAUUGUUAGUAUAAUCUGUGAAGUGAUACCAAAAGACACUGAAUAACUUUCCAGUCAUGAUUAGUGAUAGUGUUGCAGUGCAAGAAAACCUACAAUAAAGUCAGUAUAUAUAGUCAUAGCCAAAAGCAGAGCAGUAUUCACACUCAUUACUACUGUUCAAUGCUUUCCCUCACUCUGAAGGCCUUGCUAAUCUGACAAUGUUGAGACAUGAUAGAUUCUUAGCAGGACUUUGGACAAAGGGAAAACAGUAUAGCAGUGGAAGCAACUGUGGUGUUAGCAACUCGACUUCUGACAAUCACUACAUUAAGUCAUCAAGUCAUCAAGUCUUGUAUCUACAAUAUUGGAUCCAUUGCAACUCUUCUCUCUAGUCCAAUCUUUGGUGUCAUACUAUUCGCAGUGAACUGUUUGAUGUGGCAAAAUAACAGUUUAAAGCCUACCAUACGAGAUCUGCCAGCGCUGGUCUUGUGCAGUAUGUAUACAGUAAGUAACCUUCACUGAAAAAUGGUACACAAUUUAUAAAGCUAAAAUAUCAUUGCUUCACAGUUCACAUGUUUGUUUAAUAGAGAUAUAAAUACAAUACUAACAACAAUAAUGUUUGAGAUUACAGCUGGUUAGAUAGUUUAAUGCCAUUUAUAGAAAAAUUGAAAUAGUACUGAAGAAAAAAGGGAGGCUGUUUAUCGAGACUGGAUGCCCUAACAAACUUGACUUAGUCCUUGGUCAUAUUAAGAUCUCUGGAAACAUCCAUGAGAACAAGGCAAGUUUUCAUAGGUACUCCAUUUUUCAUAAUUCAUUUGUCAUGCCAAAUAAACUUCCUACCUUCCUCAAAAACUACCCCAUUCCAAAUUGCUGUCAUAAGUGGGGACAUGAAAGUAUGCCCCAGGAUCAAGAGAAUAACUCUUUAAUGAACGGUGGUUAUGCCACACCCAGAAAGUACUAUAUGAGACACCCUCCGAACUAGAGGUUUGAGUGGUAAUGUUAUGCUGGGGAUACGUCGUAAUGUUUGUGUGCCAGACAUGAUGAGACCUUCAUGCAUCCCUUACUUAAUUUCCUCACAUAAAAAGUUUCAUUGGUUCACACAUUUUCCUAUGGUUCCAAUAGUGUAAAGUUCCCAAUAGUAUGACUAAAUAUUGUUACUACUAUUUUUUAUCUGCUGUUGGAAAAGUACCAUCAAAAUCAUUAUUUGACUUUGAAAUGGUAUGAACCCAUAGCAAAGCUCUAACUAACAUUUCUGGGACAGGUAUGGUCAGAUGGAGUGAAAUGCCACACUGACUUCCUGCUCUGCUUGGCUGCAGAAACAUGACUCAAAGUAGAGCUUUUGACAGGAAAUGAUGCAGAUUUUCAAAAGGUAUCCAACAACAGACAAAAUCAGGUUAAUCAGUAAUAUUAAUAUAUAUCUUAAACAUAAGAAUAAGAACAUUCAGUGAGGCUUUAAUAUUGUAACCUCAAAAGAAUUCAAUGACAACAGUAAGACUGGUUUUGAAGAAAGUGAUCAGUCUCUCCACGCAUUCACCAUUAUAAUAACUGUUAAGACUAAAAAUCAGAUAGCAUAGUAUGUGCCCUAUCCUAGGCUUAUACAAACUCUUCCAGAUUCACAACUAAACAUAGCUAAUUAAUAAGUAUAAAGUGAAAGUAAAAGAAAAAAAUAAUGUUAUAAAAUUUCCUCAUGACAUUUUUCUGUCAUGAAAUCACCAAUGUAUUAUGUACUUUAAACAAAAUAAAGAUACAAUUUUAGUACAAGAGUAACUAGAGUUCAUAAUAUACUCAUCCUUAUUGAAGAUAAUCAAGCUGAUGCAGUGUUACUGAAAGAGUUGUUGAUACUUGAAGCUCCUGGCAAAUUAAAUUGCAGGUAUGCUAAAAUUCACAAGAAAAUCCCAAACUAUCCUUUAUGCCCACACCUCCAGGCACACUUAUAAAUAAUCAGGAGAGAGAGAGAGAGAGAGAGAGAGAGAGAGAGAGAGAGAGAGAGAGAGAGAGAGAGAGAGAGAGAGAGAGAGAGAGAGAGACUAUGCUCCUGACCAAACAUACUCAAUCUUUAACAGUGAUGAAGGAAGCUGAACUGUUCCAUCACUGCACUCUGAGCAUCCACAGUUUCCUCCAUAACCUUCCAUUGCAGCUUCUCAAGCAUCAAGGCUUAACUUCUUUUCAUCACUCUCUUUCUCUUUUUCUUUCUCACUCUUUAUUUUUUAUUAUUUUUUUUUUUACUUUUCUUUAUUAAUUUCUAUGAAACAGAAAUGAGUUCUUAUAAUUUUACUAUUUAUAUUAUUCCUUAAUAUUCCUAUCAAGGAACAAUAUAAACAGUUGAAUGUUUUACUAAUCUGUUAUUCUUUUUAAAGAUUUAUUUUUUAUUUACUUAUUUAAGUUUUUUUACAAUGAAAGCAUGUCUCACUGACAUGGGAUGACUGUACAAAUACAAAUGUGCAUUGUGGAUUUGCAUUUAUCUUGCUUAUCACUGCUUUUGUAAAAUGUUAUCACAGAAAAGAUAUUCAAUCUGACUUAGUGAAAGGCCAAAGAUGAGUCCUGAAUGUGUGUGUGUGUGUGUGUGUGUGUGUGUGUGUGUGUGUGUGUGUGUGUGUGUGUGUGUGUGUGUGUGUGUGUGUGUGUGUGUGUGUGUGUGUGUGUGUGUGUGUGUGUGUGUGUGU